rnacentral:rRNA from 1 species
AGUGAACGCUGGCGGUAGGCCUAACACAUGCAAGUCGAACGGCAGCACAGUAAGAGCUUGCUCUUACGGGUGGCGAGUGGCGGACGGGUGAGGAAUACAUCGGAAUCUACUUUUUCGUGGGGGAUAACGUAGGGAAACUUACGCUAAUACCGCAUACGACCUACGGGUGAAAGCAGGGGAUCUUCGGACCUUGCGCGAUUGAAUGAGCCGAUGUCGGAUUAGCUAGUUGGCGGGGUAAAGGCCCACCAAGGCGACGAUCCGUAGCUGGUCUGGGAGGAUGAGCAGCCACACUGGAACUGGAACACGGUCCAGACUCCUACGGGAGGGAGCAGUGGGGAAUAUUGGACAAUGGGCGCAAGCCUGAUCCAGCCAUACCGCGUGGGUGAAGAAGGCCUUCGGGUUGUAAAGCCCUUUUGUUGGGAAAGAAAAGCAGCAGGUUAAUACCCCGCUGUUCUGACGGUACCCAAAGAAUAAGCACCGGCUAACUUCGUG